rnacentral:lncRNA from 1 species
AGCAGGAACAGGAUGGGGAUGGCAGGGCAGGGGUGGGGACAGCAGGACAGGGGACAGAGGGUCAGGACAGGGUUGGAGACAGCAGGGAAAGGAUGGGGAUGGCAGGGCAGGGCUGGGCACAGCAGGGACAGAAGUGUCACAGGAGGGCAGGGGACAGCAGGACAAGGCUUGGGGACGGCAGGACAGCAGGACAGGACAGAGCUGAGCUGCUCACCCUGCAGCGCACGGCACGAAGGAGCCGUUGCGGAGCCGCCCGCAGUGCCCGCCUUCAUCCCCCCGUGCGUUCAGAGCCGCCAUGCAGGAGCCGGAGACGGGGACGGCACCUGCGAUAUCGGGGGGGGGGGGACACAAAAACGACACCGUGAACCCAACCCCACGGUGCCAACCCCCCCCCUACACCCAUCCCAGAGCCACGCUGGCACACCUGAGCCCAGCAGCUGCCGGCAUUGCCCCUCGUAGGUGCUGCAAACCCCCCCCGAGCAUCUGCCGCCGCCGCCGCACGGCUGCCCGUCCUGCACGAAGGUGUUUGGGGGGCAGAAACGGGAGCUGCCGUCGCAGAAUUCGGGCAGGUCGCAUUCGUUUGUGGGUUCCCUGCACGGCUGCCCUGCGCCCAGCAGCUGGGGGGGUAAAAAAAAAGAAAUAAAAAGGGGUUGGGGGGGGAAAAAGGUGGGGAAAUGGGGACUGCGGCGCCGCGACGGCGGCUGCGGAGCGGCUGGAUCCGUGCUGCGUGAGCAUCCCUGCAGCAUGGGAACGGCGCUGAGUGUGUGUUCUUGCACACCUGGCCCCGUGCACACACGUCCUUGCACACACGGCCCUGCACACACGGCCCUGUGCGUCCAUCCUUGCACAACUAUCCCUGCAAACCAAUCCCUGCGCGCCCAUCUUUGCGCACCUGACCCUGCAAACUCAUCCCUGUCUGCUCAUCUUUGCACACCCGGCCCUGCACACCCAUCCCUGUCCACCCAUCCUUGCACACCUGGCCCUGCACACCCAUCCCUGUGCGUCCAUCUUUGCACACCUGGCCCUGCACACCCAUCCCUGUCUGCCCAUCCUUGCACACCUGGCCCUGUACACACAUCCCUGUGCGCCCAUCCUUGCACACCUGAGCCCAUGCACACAUCCAGCACACCCAUCCCUGCUCACCCAGCCCUUUGCACACACACCCCCUUUGCACACUCACCCCUUUUCACACACCCCCUUU